rnacentral:tRNA from 1 species
GAGGGCAUAGCCCAGUGGUAGAGUGUGUGCUUAGCACGCACAAGGUCCUGGGUUUAAUCCUCAGUUCUUCUG